rnacentral:lncRNA from 1 species
UUUGAAUUCUAGAUUGCUGCUAUCAUUGUCUUUAGUUUUCUUGUUCUAUGACUCAUUUCUAUGGAAGAUCUAGGUUCAACUGCGACUUUGUAUAAUUCUCUUCCGUUGGUGCAUUUUACCUCUAGUAGAACUUUUUGUGUUAGAAAUUUUACGACUCAGAUAAAAGGACCAUUCAGAGAGAAUCCUGUUUAGUACCAUGUUAAGUAUAUGUCUGUUAUUCGUUGGAAUUUGGGUUCUAAAACAGUAGUAUUCAGCCUUCUCUAUGCCUAUUAAGAAAAUUUUUUGUUAUCUAUACUUAUAAUUCACCUAGAGCCAUUUAGUGGACUAUUCUUGAAAGAUCUGUCAACACUCAGUUGUGCAGAUUUUUUUUAAAGAUCAAUUUCUCCUUUCUAGUUUGAGUCGGGGGUUAAUCGGAAACAACCUCUCUGUCUCACAUGUGAGGUAGUGGCAUGGAUUGAGUAUGCUUAACCUCCCCAGACCCCACUUGGUGGCAAUAUACGGGGUAUGUUGUGGUUGUUGUCUAAACUUUCAUUACCGGUCCUUGUGGCCUCCAUAUUUGUUUCUUAUAUAUGAGUUUGAUUCAUGUUUAUUUGUUGUCCGAAUAAUUCAUUUUACUGAACAUGUAUUAAUUCCUUCAUCUUUUUAUUUUCACGAAUCCAUUAUUGAGUAAAAAAAACUUUCCCUUUCGCAUAUUCAUCAUGGGAUCUUGAGGCCCAUCAUCCUUAUCGAGUCAACUCUGAGACCAAGUCUAAAAGUUGAUCAUGAGUCAUACCAAGGCAAGAAUAUGGAAGAAGAAAAAAUGGAUCCAAAGGCACCCUUAUUGAAGUAACUAAGAGACUCGAAGAGUCUUAUUUGGCUUUAUUUAUUUAUUUAUUUAUUUAUUGUUGCUUUAUUUAUUUUCAGUUAUUUAUUUAUGUGUUUAUUAAUUUAGUCAUUCAUUUGGGCCGCGAAGCCAAGGUUGUAUCUAAUAUAGGAGGAGCAAGAUUCGAGCCAAAGGAUUGACAAUUAGAUUAGGACAGGUGAAAUGGGUCGAAAGCCCAUUUAGACUAGGACAAGUCUCAUUGAUUUUGGCCGAUGGCCUUAAUCCCUUACUUCUUCCCUUUACCUCUGUUCUUUAUAUUUGUUUUCCUUAUGUGCUUGGCGAACCUAGUUAAAUCCUUAGUUAAGUCGCUGAAAAACUAGUUUUGCAUAAACACCAAAAUAUUUCCAAAAUCAUUUUCUUUUCAAAAAAAUAAAUCACUUUUCGACAAAAUUAAUCUUUUCGAAGUUAAUCAAAAGACGAUUUCCAAAUAGUCUGGAUAACCGCAAGUUAGCGGAUGUUUUAGGUGCCUAACACCUUCCUAAAACUUUAAUAAUAACCGCUUACUCAGAAUCUCUUAACUUAAAUGAUUUUCCUGUUUUGAAUCAUUUGAAUUAACUCUGUAAAGGUUUCUUAAUUCCUUUUCAAAAUUAAGUGGCAACUCUCUUCUCAAAAGUCAAAAUUUUCGCAAAACAGAAAUGACGACUCUGCUGGGGAUUUGUAACUAGGUUCUAACCAAAUGUUUGAUUUCAUCUUUUGAUUAACUGUUUAUGUGUUUAUAUGUUUCGAUUCUAUAAAGUUUAACUAUCGCAUCUCAUGGCAUAUUCCUGUAUUAUUUAAACUGUUUUGGGGUUUCGUGGAUGUUUCGACCCCUGUUGUUCAAUUCCAAAAUGUGUUGGAAAUACGAACGACUUAUUAGCACGUGAGUCGUCUGAUGGUUUGUUCGUAUUUUCAAACUCAAGUUGUCCUCUUGAGAACCAAUGUUCAAACCUACUCUAGACACCUAGGAUAGAACAAAACCAAAACCCUAUUUUAGGCAUGAGCCUAGGAUGACCCAAUACCCUAGCGGGGUAUUGGGCCCAUUAGAAAACCUGCCCUAUGUCUAUUGACCCCGAGUCAUUUAUAGACGAACCAUAUUUAUGUGUUGAAGAAAAUGUUUGCCUGUCUAAUUCAAUCCAUUAUCCUUUGGGGGGUCGGGAAAAAACUUGAUUUGUUUACUUUUGUAAGAAGAAUUGAAACAAGUUAACCACAAAAUUGAUCGAUUUUGGAGGUUGCAUUUAAGGUACAGUUUGAAUGUCAACGGAUGUCACCAAUAUAAGAAAUGGAUGAAGCUAAGAAGGGGAAGGCUGAUAGAAGAAACACUCAGGAAUUAUUAUUUUUUAUCCCCUGUGUGGGAACGUAUCUUCUUUCAUGUUAUUUCCCUUUCCCUAAAGAUUGUAUCCCUCUUUCGUUAUCUUUUAUAGGCAUUUAUGCCCUUUUAGUGUCUAUAAAAGUUGGGGGAUAAUGGAUUGACCUUAAUCAAGCAUAUAUUUUUUCUUCAAAAAUCGUUAGGCCCAAACACUUGGCCCAAAAGGGUCACCUAAUUAGGAUGCACAUUUAUUACAAUAUGCUUGUGUAAUAUAACUAUUUAUGUGCUUAUACAUGUUAUGUUGAUUCGAAUCAAAGGCGAACUAAUCCAAUCCCAUUUUCCAUAGAACAUCUCUAGGCAGAAAUAUACCCCACUAUACAAAAGUCCGACUAAAAGUACUCCAAGUCUCCCAAGUUUCUCAAAAAAGUCUAUAGUUAUUCUUAAAACUUCCAAAAUGAUCGCUACCAUUUUAGGAAAGUUGAAUUUAGAAUCAGAAAAAGCUGUUAUAGUUUCGAACUACGUAGGGCCUGAUUUAUCUUCCGUGAGAUACGUAGGCAGUCUUUCGGCCCGGUCCAUAUCUCUAAAAGCUUUGUUGUCCUCCACUUUCUUGAAGGAAGAAGAAGAGUUGAACCUUCCCGACAAAUUUCACCUUUUCAUAUCAUUGAGAAAAAUCUUGUUCAUUGAAAUCCUUGAGUCAUCAUUAUUUCAUGGAUCAAUUCGCAUGAGAUGAGAAACAACUCUAUGCGUUUACUUUCUACCUUAUCAUCUUGCUUUACUUAUUACUAACAAAAUCUAACACGUCAGUGUUUGAGUUGCUUUUACUUUGCAGGUAAUAGAAACUACUCUGUGUUGGCACAAAAUGACCCUACUUCACCUGAUCAAAAUGAAUAAGAGAUCCGCUUCUUGACUAUAGCUUUAUUACAUGAAAUGAAAAAAGACUAGUAGUAAAACUGGACUCUACCAAUCAUUUUUCAACCUUGUAAGCGAUAGUAUCGAGGAUGGAAUAAGGGAAAAUAUGAUUGAAGAAUUUUCCAAGACAAUCGAAAUCAUGGAAGAUUAAUUGGAGGAAACAUUAUUGAAUUGGACCUCUACUCCACUCAUGACUCAUCGCCCGUCUUAUAACAGUAACUUAAAACGUACCAUUGUCAUGUCAUGUCAAGAAGCAAAAUAAUGGUAGCCCUAGAACAAUCAACAGAAGAGUCAAAGAGUUCAAAAAUCAAAGAAGCCUAAUCUAGAGGAAAUCGAGGUGGUUAACUAGGAAGGCGAUGACUCCAUUGGACAUUUGAUCUUUUGCUCUAUCAAGAUAAACACAAUGCAAACGUCAUGUCAUCCAUAGAAGUGCUUAUUUAUAUCCUAGUAAGAUGGGUAAGAGUAUUUUUAGGGCCAUUAUGAUUUUAUGUACAAACUACGUUUGACCUGAAUUCCCAAAAAAGGGAUACAUAGGCGGCCUACGUUGGCUUCGGUGAACCCCUUAGGAUAAUCUAUCCUUUCCCUUUAUGUACAAACUACGUUUGACCUAAAUUCCCAAGAAAGGGAUACGUAGGAGGCCUAUGCCGGCUUCGGUCAAUCCCUUAGGAUAAUCUAUCCUUUCCCUUUAUGUAUGAACUACAUGAUGACCUGAAUUCCCAAUAAAAGGGAUACGUAGGCAGCCUAUGUUGGCUUCGGUCAACCCCUUAGGAUAAUCUAUCCUUUCCCUUUAUGUAUGAACUACGUGAUGACCUGAAUUCCCAAUAAAAGGGAUACGUAGGCAGCCCAUGUCAGCUUCGGUUAACCCAUUAAUUUCUUUUGUAUAUCCUUAGCGUAGUCUUGAACUAUGUUUGACCUGAUUCUUGCUUUAACGGGAUACGUAGGCGCCCCAACAGCUCGGUCAUAUAACCCCAAGAAAUGGAAACUAGGACAGAAUUUUCAAGAAGGAAUCUCAAAAUUUCACAAGGGAAGAUCGACGUCCAACAAAGAGAAAUGAAGAUCAGCAAAGACUUCAGAUCCACUCAAGAUGAUAUCAUCUCAGACUACUUUAAAUUGGAAUAUAUUUUAAAUUCCCCAGCACUAGAGGUCGAAGUUGAGAUUUAAGAAUCACCACCUGUGAUAAAGUCUAGGAAGAAUGAAUCCCCGUCUUUGAUAAAACUUCUGGUAGAGAGCCUCGACAAUGAUGAAUCCCUAGCAAUCAUUCGUAAAAUAUCGGAUAUUGUCAGAAUCAAGAGGAAGAUGGUCGUUGAGCUAGUACAUGACAUGACUGGCAGAGAUUUUCUAAAGUUUUACAGAAGCUUUCGAAAUUAUGUUCUAAAAAUUAAGACUAUUUUCAAAACAUCUUACAACUCACUUAUUUAGUACUUGCCUAGACAUCACUUGGGAUGGAGUGUCAGGAUGGAAGUCCUGAUAUGGCGGGAUGCCCAAGAGAUGGCAAACAACAAAUCAAGGAUCGAAGAAGGUCAACAUGGAGUAAUUUCAUUCAAACUAAUCAUUUUUCUGUGGAUACAAGGAUCAAUACACAAAAGUGAGGGUCUCUUUCAAAAUCCCCGAGCAAAUUGGGAGCGACAACAGAGAAUUAAUACCCAAGAAUGGUAUUUUAGGGUAGCCCUAAAAAUAGGUUUAAUACCUAUUUAUUGAGGACCUUUUGAUUUGUCCAUCUCAUUUCUUGAGAUCAUGGGCGACAAACAAAAGUGCCUUGUCUUCUUCACAAAUAUUGUAUUUAGAAGUUUCCUAAAAAUAGUCGCUAGUAAAAGCGACUUUUUGUCUAAUAAUCGUCUACCUUGAGUACAGGUACAUGUAGAAAGCAAGACGCUGACAAAUGAAGUCAGGUAAAAUUAUUUUAAAAUUUGCCAAGAGGGCCAUUGCAUAUCAUUGCCGCAAGGACCAUUACAUAUCAAUGACGAAAGGGCCAUUAUAUAUCAUUUCCGCAAUGACCAUCGCAUACCAUUUCCGCAAGGUCCAUUACAUACCAUUGCCUCAAGGGCCAUUACAUAUCAUUGCCAUAAGGGCAAUUGCAUAUCAUUGCCGCAAGGGCUACUGCAUAUUAUUGUCGCAAGGGCCAUCACAUAUCAUUGCCGCAAGGGCCAUUGCAUAUCAUUGCCAUAACGACCAUUACAUAUCAUUGCCGAAAGGGCCAUUGCAUAUCAUUGCCGCAAGGGCCAUCGUAUACCAUUGCCGCAAGGGCCAUUAUAUAUCAUUGCCGCAAGGGCCAUCGCAUAUCAUUGCCCAAGGGCCAUUACAUAUCAUUGCUGCAAGGGCCAUUGCAUAUCAUUGCCAAGAGAGCCAUUGCAUAUCAUUGCCAAGAGGACCAUUUCAUAUCAUUACCAAGAGGGCCAUUCAUAUCAUUUGCUGAGAGGGCUAUUUUAUAUUUGUUGAUACGCAAGACACAACGCUGGCGUCGAGGAUAUCAUUAUCAUUCAAUAUCUGUUGACACGCUAGACAUAAUGCUGGCGUCGAGGAUAUCAUCAACAUUCAAUAUAUCUAUUGACACAUAAGACACAAUGCUGACGUCAAGGAUAUCAUCAUCAUUCAAUAUCUAUUGACACGCUAGACACAACGCUGGCAUUGAGGAUAUCAUCAACAUUUAAUAUAUCUAUUGAUAUGCAAGACACAACACUGGCAUCAAGGAUAUGAUCAUCAUUCAAUAUCUAUUGACGCGCUAGACACAACACUGGCGUGGAGGAUAUGAUCAUCAAUUUAUAUCUGCUGACACGCAAGACAUAAAUGCUAGCGUCGAGGAUACCUCAUCAUUUUAUAAAUCAGCUUAUGAAUGUAUCGAGAGCACAUGAUUUGAAGGAAUGCCUUUAAGUCGCUAUCUAAGGAUGAAUGAUAUAUAAGAUUUCCUAGAAAUUAACAAUUUGAGGGUUAUCUAUAAGUCAUAUUAUUUGAAAUAAGAUAGUGUGCAAGAUCACCUAUGAGUUGAUAGCCUGUAGGUCAUCCGUAGUGUGCAAGAUCAUCCAAAAUUUGAUAGUUCAAAAGUUAUCCAUAAGACGCAACUAAAUCCUUACCGAAGAAUAUGCAGGAUUAUCAAAUUGAUACGUCCAAGGGUUCUCUAUAACCCACGUCAUAUCCACGAUCGAUUAUGUGUAGGAUUACCAAAAGACUAACAAUUUGAGGGAUUAUCUAUAAGUCAUAUUGUAUCCAAGGUCGGAUGAUGUGCAAGAACACCUGAAAGCUAGAGAUUGGAGGGAUAUCUGUAAGCCAUAUCUUAUCCAAAGUCGGAUAAUGCGCAGGAUUACCUAAAAGCUAGGAAUUCAAAGGAUAUCUAUAAGUCGCCUCGUAUCCAACAUCAAAUAAUGCUCAAGAUUAUCCAAAGAUUGACAAUUUAAGAAAAAUUUAUAAAUCGAUCAUCGCUUAUAACCAGAGAGGUUAUCAUUCCACAUACAACAAGUUAUAUAGGUAACCAAAUGGGUUGCCACACCAGCACAAGAUUACAUGGUUGUAGGGACCGUUCUGCAUAAAGUAUCACCGGUGUCCAAAAAGGCCACCCCACUUUUAAGACAUAUUCAAUCAACAAAUGUCAUAAUUAUACAACAACCAAGAGCGUUGUUGUGUUUGUUGUUGUUAGUUAUUUCAUUCCAAAUAGCUACACGAAGAGAUGACUCCGCUUCUCAGGCGACAACUCACCUGGAGAUAUGGUAAAAGACUACAUACCUCUUUCGUGAAUUAUGUUUAGCACUAACAUUUUUGGCUUGAAGCAUUUCCGAGACCAUCCGAAAGGAUGAAAAUAUCAAUUCAAAACCGCAGGUGUGGAUGACUCCAAAAAGGACAUAGCAUAAUGUGAAACUCUUUCUUAGCAGCAAAACGGGACAUAGUAUAAAGAGGGACGUCAAACUCUUUGGACGCGAGCUAAAGGAUGAUCACACCCCUGUUAGAAGGCAUGUGGGUAUUUUAGGAUAUUCUGGUUUCAGCUUCACCUUCAGGAUAUUUCUAAACUCAUGCCGAGGGUAACCUUCUCUUUCUUUCAAAUUUGGGUGGCAACACACUUAGAGUUUUGGAAAUUGUGUCCAGGUAAGUUCUUGACUAAGGAUUUGAAGGAUCCUACAUUCAUGGUUAAGAGGUUACAAGCCUCUUUUCUGCAACUCGAUCAACUUGUCAUUCAUUUCGAGCCAAAGAUGGUCUGAAAUAAAAGACUAUCUUUUCUACCGAUUGAGUCGAACUACUGGCAGUCUGAUUCCCUGAGUCUUGGGGAUAUGUAGGCUGGGAUCUAUGUAGAAAACUCGACUACAUUCCAACCUUCUCCCCUAAAUGCCUUUAUUCCCCAACUUCUUGGUUUAACCAAAAACUCUAAAACUGUGAUAGUUGGUCAUUUUUCUUGAAAAUCGUGCUUAAAAUCAAGCUUUAUGAACUACAAGUGGCCUGAAUUCUCAUGUAACUUGGGAUAUGUAGGAAACCUGAUACCUAGGUUCAACCAUAACUCCAUGAAACUCGUGCGGAAAACCAACCUCUCAUAGAUACGAAUUUGUAGUCGGUUAAAAAUUAGGAACGCCAACCUCCCUUUGCCCAGGGUUACUUGCAUCCACCCUACCCAAAGGGAGCGGGAAUUUGUUGACACCUAAUUUUUGCCCUCUACGACUAUGUUUAAUCUUGAGUUUCUUCGAUUUUCAAAUAAAAUCACAACAAUUAUUUUUUCCAAAUAAAUGCAUUUUAAAAUAGGUAUUUGGGCUAAAUUUGUUAUUUAAGUGAUAAUUAUAUAUUUUCAUAUUUACAUAUACGAGAUUGUAUAAAUGAUGUCAUUUAAAUGAACAUUUUCAUAAAUAUCGAAUUUUAAUUAAGGAUAAUCUUUGAAAAUAAAUGUAAUGAUCAAAAUCUUGAUUUAAAUAUAACUUAUUCUCAAAAAUAAUUUAUUUGGAUAAAUAUGUGCUUGAUUUUAUCGAAUCAAGAAGCUUGAGAUUAAGUGAGGUAUUAAUUUGUAUUGAAUUUCGGUUUAAUUUGGCCAAUCUAUUAAAUUUGGCUAUAAGUGAAAUCAAAUUUGCCUCAAUUGCAAUGCAAUUGGCAAAUUGAUUUUCAAUUUGGCUAAAAUUUAAACGGAUUCAGCUAAUUCUUAAUUCUAUUGGGGUUAUUUAUUAAAUAACCCCAAUCUUGAACCAAUUAAUUUAAUACCAUUAACAGGCCCAAUAUAAACCAAAACCAAUCCAGGCCCACUUGGAAACCCACCGACCCGGCAAACCUAACCCGAUAAGCUUCUUUCUCAACGUCUCUGUAUGCCCAGAACGAUACAAGAACAUCGAAUGUUCUAGGGGAUGCUACGUGUUACCUUCAAGUGCAUUUCUCAAAUGCUAACCGUUGGGAGAUUCUAAAUUUCUCAACAAAUUUGUACGAAUAUUAUACAACUCUCUCUUAUCCUCUUUUCAAAAUCCAAAAAUUACCAUGAAUUUGAAUUCAUUCCACACCGUUAAAUCUUGAAACGAACCCUGGCUCAUUCUUUAUAUAAAUCUGGUUUUAGGAGCAAACAAGAGGGGGAUGGGAAUUUGGGGUUCAAAAAUUUUGGGUCUGAAAUAAAGGGGAUUUUUCUUUUCUUUCCCUUCUGGGUUCGAAAGUAUUGGGUGGAAAAAACUUAGGGGAAAUUCGGGAGUUGAAAAUUAGGGUUAAAAAUUCUGGAGUUUGAAAUUUUUGGAUUCUAAAAGAGGGGAAAGAAAAUUUUGAGAUCAAAAUAGUUCCCUUAUUGAAAACUUUCUUUGUCCUUUUUCUUUCUGAAAGUUGAUCGGUCAAUCGGAGGAGGUUCCUGAGUUGGUAAUGCUAAUUUUAGAUGGAGGUGCAUCUCGACGUAAGCUCGUUAUCUCGUUUUGCUGCCCCAAAACCGGUUAGUACUCUAUUCUUCCCUUUACUGUUGUGUCGUAAUGAUUGUAGCAGUAGUAGCUUUGGUUCAUGUCUUGAGGCUGGGAUGUUCGCUGUAGAUUAGAGUUGGCAAGCCAUAGGUUUUUUUAUGUUGAAUCUGUUGAUGUUUCGGGUUCAUCUUUAUGUUUAGUCCAUGCUGGCUUGAGGUCAUCAAACAAUUUGAAUUUCACCCGUUGGAGGUUGUUUUCUAACUUAGUUGUUAUUCGUCUUUCAUUAUAUAGCUGUUUGAUUUGACAAGUGAAUUUGGUUCUAUAUAUACCUUGCCUUCGAUGUUAUAUGUUGAAGCCUUAAAGUAUUAGACUUUUUCUAGACCUGUCCAUGAAACUAUAUCUCAGUUUACUUUUUAUGCACUGAUGUGUGCCACCUUGGAUUCGUUGAUUGUUGUUCAAUUGUGAGAUAUGCGAAAAACCCAAGUUCUUCUGUGAUUAUAAUCUAAUUGACUAACUAGCCAUGUUAAAACUAGACUUAGGAUAUCUUUAUAGACUAGAGGAUUUGAAUUCUAGAUUGCUGCUAUCAUUGUCUUUAGUUUUCUUGUUCUAUGACUCAUUUCUAUGGAAGAUCUAGGUUCAAUUGCGGCUUUGUAUAAUUUUCUUCCGUUGGUUUAUUUUACCUCUAGUAGAACUUUUUGUGUUAGAAAUUUUACGACUCAAAUAAAAGGACCAUUCGGAGAGAAUCCUGUUUAGUACCAUGUUAAGUAUAUGUCUGUUAUUCGUUGGAAUUUGGGUUCUAAAACAGUAGUAUACAGACUUCUCUAUGCCUGUUAAGAAAUUUUUUUGUUAUCUAUACUUAUAAUUCACCUAGAGCCAUUUAGUGGACUAUUCUUGAAAGAUCUGUCAACACUCAGUUGUGCAGAUUUUUUUUAAAGAUCAAUUUCUCCUUUCUAGUUUGAGUCGGGGGUUAAUCGGAAACAACCUCUCUAUCUCACAUGUGAGGUAGUGGCAUGGAUUGUGCACACUUAACCUCCCCAAACCCCACUUGGUGACAAUAUACGGGGUAUGUUGUGGUUGUUGUCUAAACUUUCAUUACCGGUCCUUGUGGCCUCCAUAUUUGUUUCUUAUAUAUGAGUUUGAUUCAUGUUUAUUUGUUGUCCGAAUAAUUCAUUUU